rnacentral:rRNA from 1 species
GAUAUUGGACACUGGUGGCAAUCCCGAUCAAGCCAUGCCUCGUGUGUGAAGAAUGUCUUCGGUUUGUUAAGUACUUCAAGUUGGGAGGAAUGGCUUUAGGAUAAUAUGCUUAUGUUUUGAUGUUACCAACAGAAUAAGCACCUGCUACCUCUCUGCCAGCAGCCGUGGUAAUACAGAGGGUGCAUGCGUUAAUCUGAAUUACUGGGCGUAAAGAGAGGGUAGGUGGUUCAGUAAGAUGGGUGUGAAAGCCCCGGGCUUAACCAGGAAACUGCUUUAAUAACUACUGGGCAAGAUUACGGUAGAGGAUAGUGGAAUUUCCUGAGUAGCGGUGAAAUGCGUAGAUAUAGGAAGGAACACCAGUGGCGAAGGCGACUACCUGGACUGAUACUGACACUAAGGUGCGAAAGCGUGGGGAGCAAA